CUAUUUAUUUAAAAUGUGAUUCCAGACGACAGGCAACAGUCCCAGUGUUCUCUGUCUUGCACAGCUCUUUCCGCCCUGAGAAACAGAAAUUAUAUAACUUGUUUUCAAUUGUGCAGACCGGGGAGGAUUCACAUGUUCAGUUUGAUGAGACUCCUAGGUGAGAGACAAAGGAUUUUUUUACUCAUGUUGCAGCAAAAAGCAUGAGCACCAUCAUUUUGUGCCAGAUCCAUUUAUGACUCAAGGUCCAACAAGGAAUAGAUGGAGAAUAUGAAGAGAAAGCAGGAGAAAAAGAGGAAAAAGCAACAUCCUGGCUGCAAGUGGAUGGGAAAGGAACCUAGUGUGUCAUGUUCUCAUAGUCAGUGAUGAUGUUUGGGGACAACUGUUGGCAUGGGAAGCCCACGGGAGGCUACUGCUCUGCUGACUUUCUGGAUGCAGCCAGAAUCGAUGGUAUAAUCACACGUACAGCUUCCUUUCUCUCUGUCUGUCGUCUGUCUGUCUGUCUUUCUCACAUAGACUGAGCUAAGGGAAAAGGCACAUCACUCUCUCCUUCGGGCACUGCUUCUCCUGGUAUGCUUCACCUUCCUUGUUGGUCUUUAUAAUUCCUCCCACCCUAGAAGUGAGACUCCUCUCACCUGCCUUGUUAUUGAAGCUCAACUGAUAAAAGGAGCAUGUUUAUAUUAAAAAAGAAAGAGUUUUAUAUACACACACACGCACACA